UACCCGCGCCACAAGUGGUGACCGCAAUUAUUGGGUUUAAAGCAUCCGUAGCCGGCUCGACAAGUCUCUGAUUAAAUCUCUCGUUAACCGGGAGGCUGUUAGAGAUACUAUCGAGCUAGGAACCAGGAGAGGUCUGGGGUACUUUUGGGGUAAGGGUGAAAUUGUAUCGCCUUGCAGGCAAUAACCUGCGAAGCGACGCUUCACAGUCUGUUGAUCCUAAAGGGACCACCGAUGGCGAAGGCACC
rnacentral:rRNA from 1 species